rnacentral:rRNA from 1 species
GACGAACGCUGGCGGCGUGCUUAACACAUGCAAGUCGAACGGAAAGGCCCUGCUUUUGUGGGGUGCUCGAGUGGCGAACGGGUGAGUAACACGUGAGUAACCUGCCCUUGACUUUGGGAUAUCUUCAGGAAACUGGGCCUAUUACCGGAUAGGAGCCCCGGCUGCAGGGGGGGGGUGGGAAAGUUUCGGCGGUUGGGGCUGGACUCGCGGCUUAUCAGCUUGUUGGUGGGGUAGUGGCUUACCAAGGCUUUGACGGGUAGCCGGCCUGAGAGGGUGACCGGCCACAUUGGGACUGAGAUACGGCCCAGACUCCUACGGGAGGCAGCGGUGGGGAAUAUUGCACAAUGGGCGGAAGCCUGAUGCAGCAACGCCGCGUGCGGGAUGACGGCCUUCGGGUUGUAAACCGCUUUCGCCUGUGACGAAGCGUGAGUGACGGUAAUGGGUAAAGAAGCACCGGCUAACUACGUG